rnacentral:lncRNA from 1 species
CGGGACCAACGCGCGCAGGCGCGCGGCUGGGCCGGGGACCAGGGCGGGAUCGGGGCCUGCGUGCUCGCGCCGGGGGUGACGCGGGAGGGCGGCAGCGGCGGCGGCGGGAGCGCGCCCGUUGCAAGAUGGCGGCGGCCAUGCUGGGCCCCGGGGCUGUGUGUGCGCAGCGGGCGGCGGCACGGCCCGGAAGGCUGGCGCGGCGACGGCGUUAGCCCGGCCCUCGGCCCCUCUUUGCGGCCGCUCCCUCCGCCUCUUCCCUCCUUGCCCGAGAUGGAUCUGCCCGUGGGCCCCGGCGCGGCGGGGCCCAGCAACGUCCCGGCCUUCCUGACCAAGCUGUGGACCCUCGUGAGCGACCCGGACACCGACGCCCUCAUCUGCUGGAGCCCGUUGCCUGGCAGCAGGCUUGUUUACAUGGUCCGACCCUGCAAGACCGGACAGCUCCGGUUUGCAGAAGU